UACGUAGGGUGCAGGCGUUAAUCGGAAUUACUGGGCGUAAAGCGUGCGCAGGCGGUUUCUUAAGUCACUUGUGAAAUCUCCGGGCUUAACCCGGAGCGGCCAAGUGAUACUGUCGUGCUAGAGUGCGGAAGGGGCUACUGGAAUUCUCGGUGUAGCGGUGAAAUGCGUAGAUAUCGAGAGGAACACCUGCGGCGAAGGCGGGUAGCUGGGCCGACACUGACGCUGAGGCGCGAAAGCCAGGGGAGCAAACGGG
rnacentral:rRNA from 1 species